GACGAACGCUGGCGGCAUGCCUAACACAUGCAAGUCUAGGGGUAGCAAUACCACUGGCGCACGGGUGAGUAACACGUAGGUUAUCUGCCCCCAUCACAGACAUAACCCCGGGAAACCGGGGCUAAUAUCUGAUGAGGUCGCGAGAUCAAAGCUUCGGCGGAUGGGGAUGAGCCUGCGGCUGAUUAGCUAGUUGGUGAGGUAAUGGCUCACCAAGGCGACGAUCAGUAGCUGGUCUGAGAGGACGAACAGCCACACUGGAACUGAGACACGGUCCAGACUCCUACGGGAGGCAGCAGUGAGGAAUAUUGGUCAAUGGGAGCAAUCCUGAACCAGCAAUGCCGCGGUGUGGGAUGACAGGGCUUCGCCUUAGUAACCACUGUCGGACGGGACGAAAGGAGGCC
rnacentral:rRNA from 1 species